ensembl:lncRNA
AAGUCCCCCAAUCAAUUACAUGUAUGGUGCUAUGCACAUGUCCUUCAUCUGGUUUCAUCUGACAACAACUGAAAUUGUCUUGGCGAGUGGGUCACUGUUUUCUCUCCUGAACGACAUUGCUGAUUUACUCCGUGAAUCCUACCAAAGGAUGGAUGUGUGGGAGAAGAAGAGCCAGGACACGAGACACAGAUGCCUAUCUCCAAUCAGAGAAACACGCUGGUGGGCGUAAGGAUAGGGCUUUGACGAAGGUCCUUGGAUCUUUUGGAAAACCAGACCAGGGUCUCUAUGGGGUCUUCUUUUUGGGUUACCAGGUGCCCAAAUCAAAUUACCAGGUGCACGGCUGUGAAAAGUGGGAAUUCCUCAUACUGUCAGCCAUACAAGGACAGGCCAACGUGAAGACAACUGUUCGGGUGAAGGCAAGAGGAUUCACUGAGGCUCUUCUCCGGUAUGAGACGAUACUGACAGCUCAAAUAUAUAUUUGUAUAUUUUAGAACACUAUCCAAAUACCUGCAGACAAGCGGGAGGGACAUCCUGUCUGCCCAUCGAAUGGUUGUGGCUACACAGGAAACCCUGAAAGGCAUGUCAAGAAACUGACACCAUUAAGGCAGCUACAGACACAUUUGUUCCCUUUGCAAAUAAGAUCAAAGAACAGGAUGAGGACACAGAACUGGAGGAGGUGGAAGCCACUCCACAGAAAAGGGCAAGAAAGAACAAAAUCAUGUCUGGAGAGAUGGCUCAAGAGAUAUAGAUAUAUAUAUAUAUAUAUAUAUAUAUAUAUAUAUAUAUAUACUGUAUAUUUUUAUUUUAUAUAUAUAUAUAUAUAUAUAUAUAUAUAUUUUUUUUUUUUUUUUUUUUUUUUUUUUUUACCUGUAUUUAGCAAGGCAAGUGAUUUAAGGAGAAAUUCUUAUUUACAAUGACGACCUACCAAAAGGCAAAAGGCCUCCUACGGGGGCGGGGCAUGGGAUUGAAAAUAAAUACAUAAAUCAAAUAUAAACAUAGGACAAAACACACAUCACAACAAGAGAGACAACACGACAUAAAGAGAGAAUGAUUAAGAUGAAGCUUUGACAGAGGCAGAGAGUGUCUAUAAAGUACAAGACCACAAUGAAAUGAUGGAUACAGUCACAGAUAGUAUCCACAGGUGAUUUCUGUCUCAUGGCUGUCUCUAUAUGCUGACCUAGCCCUUCUGAACCCUGGAAA